rnacentral:lncRNA from 1 species
GCAGGGAAGAACUGAGGGGUUGGGGGAGGCAUGCCACAGGGAAGUGCUGGAUGCUGGCCCAGUUUUCCACAGUGCCUUUGCCUGGCUUUCUGCUUCCGUGUUUCUUUUUCUUCUUGGAGCCGUCUACAGGCACAUAGGGAGGACACUCCUCCCGGCCCAAGGAAUUGUGAAUAUGAGACCAAGACGGCCAUCAUGUAGGCUGAGAUGGGGUUUCUGCUCCUCCACGUGCUGUGCAAGGAUGUACCACAGUGCAGGAGGGCCUCCCUGGGAGGGCACAGACCUCCAACUGAUUGAAUUGACACAACUUAGAGCGAAGAACUGUCAGUACUUGGGACUGGAUUUUCAGGUGAUCACAUCUUUAGAGCACAACAGUCCACUUGAGACACUGAUCAGUGUGAGUGUCUGGCCUGGAAUUUAAUAAUACCCAAUUAAAAAUAUAAUUAUAUUAUUCCUUUGAUUAAGUCCAGAUUGAGUCUUUGCAAUUUCAGUAUUUCUGACUUGAAGAAAACGUUAGUAAAAUUAACAUAAUGGUUAUUAUAUAAGAGAAAUAUUCUGUUGUAAUGCUGAACACCAAUUUAGAUAUGGGUAAGCACGUACUUUGGAUGUACUUAUUGGACCUAAUGGUAUCAUAUACAGCAGAAUCUCUCUAAAUCACAUGAGAAAUACUUUCAUGGGACUGCAAGAGUUCCACGUAGAGCAAACAAAUGUGUGCAAAAAUGGUGUUGUAGUAUGUAGGAAAGUAGUUGUUCCAUAUAAUCACUAUAGCCAUUAAAGCUUCUCCAGCAACUUUGCCACUUCAAAUUUUUAUUUAAAGAAAUAGGGGAGUAGUUUAGUCCUCCUUCUGAUGAUAAAGGGUUACAAGCAGCUGUGGUGUUGGUGUCACGUCUCAUACAUUGUCAGCAGACAGUUGCAGUUUCAGUUACAUUUUUCUCCUUUGAUUUGAUUAUGUUCUUCUCCUAAAUUAAAUAAUUAUAAUGUGUGUACUGUGUGGUAAUGGCAGCACCAUCCAUUCCAGGCCUUAAGAAAUAUGCUGUGGGUUCAGGAGAAUUUGUAAGCAAUAAACCUUCUCAUCUUGUUUGUCA